UAUUUGGAUGUCUUUUUUUACGAGGAAUUAUAUACUGUCACACUUGCACCACGUCAUCAAUAACAAGCCAAUCAUAUUCCUUCUUUUCAAAUAAAAGUACAAUAAAAAUACUUUUUUACAAUCAUGAUGGGACAUAUAUUCUUAAAAGGAUUAAUUUGAUUGGUUUAUUACGCCACGUCACUAAUAUAUCCGUUGCAUUCUAGAAUUUUUCCUUUUUUACACUUUUAAAAUACAUAGAUUAAAUCCUAAAAUUUGCAAUUUUGGAAUAAAAUAAAAAGGCAAUUAUUUAUAUAUUUUUGAAAAAUUUUCGACUUUCUAAUUUAUCUCUCUUAAAAGGUUAAUAUUAAAAAUAACUUUCUUACGUUCCAACUUAUAUUCCUAAAGUUAAAUUCUAUUAAUUAACUAUUAGCAAUAGUUGUUAUCUGUAUGAAAUUAUUAUUUUGCCCUUUCAAAUAUACUUUCAUCAUCACCGACUUUUUUUAUUUACUUAAAGUUACAAAAAAAUUUUUAAUUUUUGAUCUUUUCAAAUUAAUAUACCCUUCUACCAUCACCAAUAUUUCUUAUUUGCCCUAAGUUAAAGGCAAAAGAGGUAUUUUGAUUUUUUUUUAAUUCUAGUAGAUAUUUAACCUACGUUUAAUCCAAGUUAACUUAACGGGUUGUCAGUUGUCACGACAUAAAGAUUUUCUCCGCAAUUUCGCUUUACAAUCACCCAAACUCCAAAGCGGACAUCUGACGGAGGUUUUAGCUUGGAAUCUUCUAGAAGCUUCUACGCAGGACCCUCAAGGAGUAUGUCAAGGAGUACUCCAAACUGAUGCUUGCCAUCACCAGCAUGGCCGAGGAGGAUCGGCUGUUCUUCUUCCUCUACGGUCUCCAACCAUGGGCUAACAAGGAGCUCGUGGCGAGAGACGUCAAGGACGUAAGCUCCGCUAUUGCCCAGGCGGAGAAGGUGCUGGAGUAUGACAAGCCGGACUUCGCUCGUGGCAAACCAUCUAAGGCGGGCAAGGCCAAGGGUGGAGGAGACCGCCGCGAGCAACAUGAUCAAAAGAGCCAAGAGUGAAUGGGCCUUCCGCAGAAGAAGAAGACGAUCUCUUACUAUGUCUGCGGGGGUGAUUACUGGGCGAGAGAUUGCCCAAAGAAGAAGACCGUCAACACCAUCCAAGCCGAGGAGGGCGAGGAACAAGCGGAGACGAAGAUGGACGCGCUACGACUCGUCAGCGCGAUCCAGGGGCAGGCGAGCAGCAAACCGCUCAAAAAGGAGCUACUGUUCGUGGAUGUGACCCUCAACGGGAGGGCCACUCGUGCGAUCGUAGACACUGGAGUGACCCACAACUUCAUCGCCGAGUCUGAGGCCAAACGGCUCGGCGUCGCACUCGAGAAGGACACGAGCAAGAUCAAGGCUAUCAACUCGGUGGCACAGCCUGUCGUGGGAGUAGCCAAAGGAGUGACGAUCACAGUUGGACCCUGGUCAGGUACAGUGAACUUCACCGCCGCGACCAUCGAUGACUUCAAAGUCAUUCUCGGCAUCGACUUUCUCGCUUCAUCGAAGGCGGUUUCGAUGCCGCACCUCGGGGCCUUGAGCAUCAUGGAGGAGGCAGCCCCGUGCAUGGUCUUGGCGAGCCGCAGCGAGCCAGCGGCAACCCACACCCUCUCCACUCUACAACUGCGGAAGGGGGUGAAACGCGGCGAAAUCACUUACCUUGCGGCCAUCCGCGAGGUAAGCGAUGAGGACCUCGAGAAGGAGGGCCCUCCAGCGGUGAUCGAUGCAGUCCUGGGGGAGUUCAAGGACGUCAUGCCCCAGGAGUUGCCUAAGAGACUUCCACCUAGGCGGGAGGUAGACCAUGCGAUCGAGCUCGAGCCAGGAGCAAAGCCACCAGCAAAGGCACCAUACGGCAUGGCCCCGCGAGAGCUCGAGGAGUUGCAGCGUCAACUAAAGGACCUCAUCGAUGCGGGCUUCAUUAGGCCGUCGAAGGCACCCUACGGAGCACCAGUCUUGUUCCAAAGGAAGAGCGACGGAAGCCUGCGGCUCUGUAUUGACUACAGAGCGCUCAACAAAGUAACGGUAAAGAACAAGUACCCUAUUCCCCUUGUUGCUGACUUGUUUGACCAGCUUGGCGGAGCAAACUUCUUCACCAAAUUGGACCUUCGCUCGGGAUACUACCAAGUCAGGAUUGCGGAGGGCGAUGAGGAGAAGACGGUAUGUGUGACGAGGUAUGGAGCCUACGAGUUCCUCGUCAUGCCAUUCGGUCUGCCGAAUGCACUGGCGACCUUCUGCACCAUGAUGAACAAGCUAUUACACCCUUAUCUCGAUCGCUUCGUGGUAGUGUACCUCGACGACAUCGUCGUGUACAGCAACACUCUGGAGGAGCACGUCGAGCAUCUGCGGACGAUCUUCCAAGUGCUGCGGGAGAACCAACUCUAUGUCAAGAGGGAGAAGUGCUCCUUUGCGAAAGAGGAGGUGCACUUUCUUUGCCAUUGGAUUGGUCGAGGACAACUUCACAUGAACCAGCAGAAAGUGCGGGCGAUCUGCGAGUGGGAGGCGCCCACGACGGUGUCCGAGAUGCGAUCUUUUCUCGGACUCGUCAACUACUAUCGCCGCUUCAUCGCGGGCUACUCUGCUCGAGCGGCCCCUUUGACGGAUCUGCUAAAGAAGACCCAGUCAUGGGACUGGACCCCUCGAUGCGUGGAGGCAUUCGAGGACUUAAAGCAGGCGGUGACGGAGGAUCCGGUGUUGCUGCUUUUCGACUACAGCCGUCCAUUCGAGGUACAUACUGAAGCCUCGAACUUUGCCAUUGGUGGUGUUCUCGUGCAGGACGGACACCCCAUCGCCAAUGAGAGCCGCAAGCUCAACGACACUAAGCGGCGGUACAUGGUGCAAGAGAAUGAGAUGACCGCCGUAGUGCACUGCCUCAGGACUUGGCGACACUAUCUCCUUAGAAACAAGUUCGUUGUGCGGAGAACUAUGUCGCGACGAGCUACUUCCUCACUCAGAAGAAGCUGUCACCCAAGCAGGCGAGGUGGCAGGACUUCCUGGCGGAGUUCGACAUGGAGCUCAUGUACAAACCCGGGAAGGAGAACCAGGUGGCUGACGCACUCAGCCGCAAAGCCGAGUUGGCAGCGGUGUGCCAGCCCUAAGGCGCGAUCAGGGAGCGAAUCCGCGAAGGAACUUGCGAGGAUCCUGUGGCCCAAGGACUCGUGCGACUCGUCAAGGAAGGCAAGGCGCAGCGGUUCUGGCUUAGCGAUGAGCUGCUCCUCACCAAGGGGCGGCGCGUCUAUGUGCCCAGAUGGGGCAAUCUUCGUCGCGAGCUCAUGAAGGAGUGUCAUGACUCUAAUUGGGCCGGACAUCCAGGACAGAAGCGGACUAUGGCACUACUCGAGACCGCCUACUAUUGGCCUCGCAUGCACGACGACGUGGAGGCGUACGUGCGGACUUGCCUUAUGUGCCAGCAAGACAAGAUGGAGCGCCAGAAGCCUCGGGGCCUUCUCGAGCCCCUGCCUACACCGACGCGUCUGUAGGAGAGUAUUUCCAUAGACUUCAUCUCCGCCUUGCCCAAAGUGGGGACGUUGGGGUCCAUCCUCGUGGUGGCGGACCGAUUCUCCAAGUACGGGACUUUCAUCGCGGCACCAGCAGAUUGCACUGCGGAAGAAGCGGCGCGGCUCUUCGUCAGCAAUGUGGUGAAGCUUUGGGGCGUCCUCGAAAGCAUUGUGAGUGACCGCGACCCUAGGUUCACGGGCAAGUUCUGAACUGAGGUGUUCCGGAUCUUGGGGUCGGAGUUACUCUUCUCCACUAGCUUCGACCGACAGACGGACGGCCAGACGGAGCGGGUGAACGCCCUACUGGAGAAGUACCUGCGGCACUAUGUCAGUGCCAACCAGAAGGACUAGGUGCAUCAUCUGGACGUGACCCAGUUCUCCUACAACUUGCGGCGGAGCGAGUCAACCAACCUUAGCCCGUUCGAGCUGGCAACGAGGAGGCAACCACUCACUCCGCAUUCUGCUGCUACGGGUGAGCAGGGCUGCAGCCCAAUGGCUCUCCAAUUCACUUCUCAUUUGCAGGAGAAGGGGGACAUUGCGAGAGCUUAUCUCGAGAAGGCGACCCGCCGAAUGAAAAAGUAGGCCGAUGCACAGCGGCGACCCUUGGAGUUUGACGAGGGAGAUCGAGUGUUGAUCAAGCUGCAACCACAACAGUUCAAGGCUUUUCGCAAAGUGCACCGUAGGCUUUUGCGAAGGUACGAAGGGCCUUUCACUGUCGUGAAGAGAGCAGGCAAGGCAGCCUACAAACUGCAACUCCCCGCCAACCUGAAGAUUCAUCCUGUCUUUUAUGCUAGCUGCCUGCAGCCCUACCAUGAAGACGCUGAGGGCCCGAGCCGGGGCGUGUCGCAGUGCGCUCCCGCCACUAUGACCACUGCAAUCGACAAGGAGGUCGAAGCCUUACUGGACACUCGCACCAUUCGGCGUCGCGGAGUCCCGAGGAGCGUCGAGUAUCUUGUCAAGUGGAAGAAUCUCCCGCAUGGCGAGGCAAGCAGGGAGAAGGUCGACACUCUCUGGAAGUAUCAGAAGCUGAUCGAUGACUUCCAACACCAGCGCGCGACGAGGGCGUCUGCGCAAUAGGUGGGGGAGGUUGUCACGACAUAAAGAUUUUCUCCGCAAUUUCGCUUUGCAAUCACCCAAACUCCAAAGCGGAUAUCUGACGGAGGUUUUGGCUUGGAAUCUUCUAGAAGCUUCUACGCGGAUCUCGAGACUGAUGGUGCAGAUACCGAAGGGUCAAGAGUCCCUUAGAGUUUCUAGGUAGUCA
rnacentral:lncRNA from 1 species